AUGUCACCCUUGGCUCCCAGGGAAUGGCUCGGGAUGAGGGUCAGACACACCAUGGAGGAACUGAGAGGUGUCCAGAUUGUCCCUGGUCCUUGUCAUCCAUCCAUCCUCUUCUCCAUGUUCUUCUCCAUCCAUCCAUCCAUCAUCCAUCCAUCAUCCAUCAUCCAUCAUCUAUCAUCCAUCAUCCAUUCAUCCAUUCAUCCAUCCAUCAUCCAUCCAUCAUCCAUCCAUCAUCCAUCCAUCAUCCAUCCAUCAUCCAUCCAUCAUCCAUCCAUAGAUUCCAUCCAUCCACCCUUCCUCCCAUCCUUCCAAACCUUCUCCUCACCUUCCCCUUCCCCAUCUCCCUCUUUCCCCCUUUUUCCCAACCUCCCCCUUGUGGGAAUCUCCCAGGGAUGUGAGGUCGGACCCAGGAGUCUCCCCCACACUCAGAGCUUCCGGGGCUUUCCAGCUCUUCCAAAGAGGAAUGGGGUGAACCACAACAGAGGGAUGAGCAUUCCCAAAGGAAUAUCCUGGAAUUGUUUGGCCCGUGUGUGGCUGGAGAUGCCGGGGUGGGGAAUUCCUGAGGCGUGGGGUGACAGCCCCAGGGGACCCUGGGGACUGGGACAGGGAGGGCAGGAGCAGCCAGAGGCUCCGAUGGUUCCUCCCCAUCUCCUGGGAACAGAGAAAUCCAGGGAUGGCUUCAUUCCCGAGCUGAGCUCCAGCCAAGCCCGGCUGUCCCCGGAGUCCCUGCGUCACUCACCGGCUCCGGUGGGUCUCCGGCGCUCUCCCGGGAGCUGCCAGGAGAAAAACGGGAAGGCUGGAGCAGGGAGCCAUUCCAAGGAGGAAUCCGUCCUUCCCCCGUGGCCAUUCCCUCACCUCUGGAGCAGCUCCUGGCCCGGCAGGACCACGUCCACGGCAUCCGGGGCUGGUGGUGACAUCCCAGCCUGGCCCAGCCGGCACCGGGGCAGAGGGAGCAAGAGGGAUGGGGAUGAGGGGAUCCCAUUCCCGAUCCUGGCUGUCCCAUUCCCAUUCUGUUUCAUUCCCGACCCUGCUCUGUCCCACUCCCACUCCCAUUCCUGCUCCCACUCCCAUUCCCGCUCCCAUUCCCGCUCCUGCUCCCAUUCCCGAUUCUGCUCUGUCCCAUUCCCACUCCCAUUUCUGCUCCCAUUCCCAUUUCUGCUCCCACUCCCAUUUCUGCUCCCACUCCCAUUUCUGCUCCCACUCCCGCUCCCAUUCCCGCUCCCGAUUCUCAUUCCCAUUCCCGAUUCUGCUCUGUCCCAUUCCCGAUCCCAGCCCUGCCCCCAGGAGCUGCCAGGCUCCCGUUCUCCCAGACAAACCCUUCCCAAAGAAUUCCCUGGGAUCCCGGGAAUCCCGGGGACUCACGGCCGUGCCUGGGGGCUGGAGAGGGAGGAAAAGCCGCUCUUCCCGUUUUUUUUAUUUUGCUGGAAAAGGGAUCUGGGAGGCUCUUGUGGCUCCCGGGAGUUGUUGCCACAACAGAACCUCCCCUUGGCAACUCCUCCCGGGAGCGGCUCCCAUCCCAAAAUCCCGCUCUGCUCCUCGCUGGGAAUCCCCCAAAUCCCCUGUGAUUCACAAAAAACACAGGAGAUCCCAAAAUCCACACGGGGAAAUUCCAGGGGAUCCCAAAAUCCACUCGGAGGAAUUUCCAGGGGUGAUCCCAAAAUCCACUCGGGGGAAUUCCAGGGGAUCCCAAAAUCCACUGGGAGGAAUUUCCAGGGGUGA
ensembl:lncRNA